UACGGAGGGUGCAAGCGUUAUCCGGAUUCACUGGGUUUAAAGGGAGCGCAGGCGGAUUGGUAAGUCAGUGGUGAAAGGCUUAAGCUUAAACUUGGGAACUGCCAUUGAUACUAUCAGUCUUGAAUGUUGUUGAGGUUUGCGGAAUGGGUCAUGUAGCGGUGAAAUGCAUAGAUAUGACCCGGAACACCUAUUGCGAAGGCAGCAGGCUAAACAAAUAUUGACGCUGAGGCUCGAAAAGCGUGGGGGAUCAAAACGGG
rnacentral:rRNA from 1 species